AUGAACGCUGGCGGCGUGCCUCAUCCCUGCCAGUCGAGCGCACGGACGAGAAGCUUGCUUCUCUGAUGUUAGCGGCGGACGGGUGAGUAACACGUGGAUAACCUACCUAUAAGACUGGGAUAACUUCGGGAAACCGGAGCUAAUACCGGAUGAUAUUUUGAACCGCAUGGUUCAAAAGUGAAAGACGGUCUUGCUGUCACUUAUAGAUGGAUCCGCGCUGCAUUAGCUAGUUGGUAAGGUAACGGCUUACCAAGGCAACGAUGCAUAGCCGACCUGAGAGGGUGAUCGGCCACACUGGAACUGAGACACGGUCCAGACUCCUACGGGAGGCAGCAGUAGGGAAUCUUCCGCAAUGGGCGAAAGCCUGACGGAGCAACGCCGCGUGAGUGAUGAAGGUCUUCGGAUCGUAAAACUCUGUUAUUAGGGAAGAACAUAUGUGUAAGUAACUGUGCACAUCUUGACGGUACCUAAUCAGAAAGCCACGGCUAACUACGUG
rnacentral:rRNA from 1 species